GAUGAAGAACGUAGUGAAAUGCGAUACGUAAUGUGAAUUGCAGAAUUCAGUGAAUCAUCGAAUCUUUGAACGCACAUUGCGCCCCUUGGUAUUCCAUGGGGCAUGCCUGUUCGAGCGUCAUUUGUACCUUCAAGCUUUGCUUGGUGUUGGGUGUUUGUCUCGCCUUUGCGUGUAGACUCGCCUUAAAAUAAUUGGCAGCCGGCGUAUUGAUUUCGGAGCGCAGUACAUCUCGCGCUUUGCACUCAUAACGACAGCGUCCAAAAGUACAUUUUACACUCUUGACCUCGGAUCAGGUAGGGAUACCCGCUGAACUUAAGCAUAUCAAUAAGCGGAGGA
rnacentral:misc_RNA from 1 species